AGCUUUGAGCAGUGGCAGUAUCGUAGCCAGUGAGGUUUAUCCGAGGCGCGAUUAUUGCUAAUUGAAAUAUUAAAAAGAUUCAUUAGGGGUAACUUCCUUCUACCCUAUCCCAGCUCCUCAAAGUUUUGAGCAUUCAGGAGCUGAAUAAACAUUUUGGUGACAAUUUAUGGACAUACUGACACUAACUUUCCUAGUU
rnacentral:snRNA from 1 species